AUUGAACGCUGGCGGCAGGCUCAACACAUGCAAGUCGAGCGGGGGAGGUUGCUUCGGUAACUGACCUAGCGGCGGACGGGUGAGUAAUGCUUAGGAAUCUGCCUAUUAGUGGGGGACAACAUUCCGAAAGGAAUGCUAAUACCGCAUACGCCCUACGGGGGAAAGCAGGGGAUCUUCGGACCUUGCGCUAAUAGAUGAGCCUAAGUCGGAUUAGCUAGUUGGUGGGGUAAAGGCCUACCAAGGCGACGAUCUGUAGCGGGUCUGAGAGGAUGAUCCGCCAAACUGGGACUGAAACACGGCCCAGACUCCUACGGGAGGCAGCAGUGGGGAAUAUUGGACAAUGGGCGGAAGCCUGAUCCAGCCAUGCCGCGUGUGUGAAGAAGGCCUUUUGGUUGUAAAGCACUUUAAGCGAGGAGGAGGCUCUUAAGGUUAAUACCCUUGAUGAGUGGACGUUACUCGCAGAAUAAGCACCGGCUAACUCUGUGCCAGCCGCCGCAGUAAUAC
rnacentral:rRNA from 1 species